CUCUCCCCCAUGGCUUCUUCUGCAAUUUCGUCAUCGUUGAUCAUCAUCUGGUUGCGGAGAUCCUUGAGGGUUUCGCUUGGCCUACGAUUCCUACUGGUUAUCGGAAUUCUUUGGUUUACGCCUCAUCCUUUGAUUGCUUAGUGAUUCAUCGGGCGAUCGAUUGAACUUUGCGUUGCUGUUUUUGACCAGCUUAUUCUGGAUUCUCGUUGUUCGGUGAAUUGGUAGUGCAAUACUUUUCCA